CAGGUUCAGCUCAUGCUGCAGUGGGACAGGUGGGCCCCUUCUGCACCCAGGUGGCAGCUCAAUUGCUGGCAAGGUGGAAGCUAGGAAUGGGUAGUUAGCCCUGAUCCCCAGCACCUGGUUCAAAGGCCAUUUAAGAAGCCAGAGAGACACCUGCAUGUUUGGAAAGAGCAGGAAGAUCUCCAUGCUUGGUUUGAAGGAGCUCUUGAAUCCUGCUGAGAGGCUCUGGAGUGCUUAUGUUACAUUUGCUGAAGAAUCUAUCAUCCUGAAAGAUAACCUGAUCCUGGAACGACCUGCAAACUGUCCACUAAGGCCAAGUGAUGGAUGUCUUUAGCUAUGAACUGCAUGCCUUGUUUCACCAAAGUUCCCUUUAAAAUGAAAUUCUGUGAAGUAUUAAACACACAGGGCUUAUUCACUUGUUUGUGUUGGAUAAGUGAAUUAGAUGCUUGUGGAAAAUGCCAGAUGGGCUGCAUGGGAGCCAGGAAGUCUCUGUCUCUCCACCAAGCAGCAACAGUGUUUACUUGCCAGAUUGUGCUGUCAAAAUGCCCUAACCUGACCCAUAGAAUCCUUGGGCAGUGCUGUGAUGGCUGUGUUCUCAGCAGGUGUGAGGUUGAUCUCCAUGUUGUGGGCUUCAUUUCUUGA
rnacentral:lncRNA from 1 species